GUGAAGGUAAACUAAUGUAGAAGUUGUCUGGCUCAUAACCAGAUCAUGAAUUUAUUUUCUCUUCGCU
rnacentral:tRNA from 1 species